rnacentral:miRNA from 1 species
GCAGGACAGGCAGAAGUGGAU